GGACACUUAGCUCAGUUGGUUAGAGCGCGUCCUUGACGUGGACGAGGUCAGAAGUUCGACUCUUCUAGUGUCCACCA
rnacentral:tRNA from 1 species